GAUUUUCUGUAUUGUUUUUUUUUAUUUCAUAAAGCUCUUUAUCUCUGGCUUUGUACCUCAGCUAUUCCUACAUGCCACCAACCUUCUUCUGACCACUAUCCUUGCGCAACCAGAGAGGAAAAUAUGCAUUGACUGAAAUGGUACCAUCAGUUGGAAGCUACAGGUUCAAUCUUGGCAGUGAAUAUUCCAGGAUUCCAGCUCAAAAGAGACUGGAAUGACUCCGCUUUCCGCAAAUCCUCAGGUUUCCCUGCUAGAAUCCAUCUUAAGCUCAGCAAGAGCUGUUGACUGGGAAUGGAAAGGACCUAACAGGCAAGUCUUACAGUGCUCAAAUCUCUCCUUCAUUGUUUUGACAUUUCUCUCUGCUUUUCCCUUCCAAAAUUGAAUGGCUGCUCAUGGAGCACAGUGACCUGCUCUGGAGGGCUCUCCCGGGCCUGUGGUUUCAUGCUCUGCAACCUCAUCCAAGACAACAGCCUUUGGGGUUUCCCUUCCAGCCUGUCUGCCACAGAGUGCUUUGGAGCAGGUGCAUUUCUAUAGUGCAGGACUGAGCAUGGGGAGCUGAGCAGAGCAUGUGAUGGAGUGUGUCCUGUGCAGAGGCUGUCCCUACGCACUGCUCCCCAGCCCCAUGCCAGCACUUAAUGGUGUGUUGCAUUUGCAUAAUGUACAUAAAUUGGUAUAGGUCUUGAGCAAUUACAUUGGCAUCAGCAUGUCUUUUUCCCUUGCCAAGCAGCAAAGGCACCAUGUCUCCUGUUGUGGAGCAUGCCAACACCUUAACUAUGCUCCUGCCAACAUCCGACAUAAAUCAUCCCUUAUCCAGCCGUCCCCUGUCCUUCUGAAGGUUGCAGUCCUGGAAUCCCAUCCCAUUCUUUGGUUAUCCAGGGAGGUAUUUACUCGCUCUCGGGUGCAGUUGACAUAGUAAGAUGGGAUGUGUUUCAGAGCCUUUCUGUUCUGGGACUCCUCCUGCUUCAUUGCAAGUGAUACACGGUUGGUCUCUGCUUCCUUAGAGCAUCACAUAGCAGAUAGAGCAACGCAUUUGAUCUCUCUGUGUAGUUUUAUGGUAAGCCACUACCUGAGCUUGUAGGAUCUGCUCUCCUUUCCACUGUGAGCAUUCCUAAGCAUGUGCUGUGAUGAGAUCCCCCUCCACGACUUUAGGACCAGUCUGCCCAGGUCAGCCCAGCACACAGUGCCUGGGAGGUGACAGUCCAACUUGCUGAACGCCACCGAACACUUUAGACCAUUGAUCAUUUGGGCUUGAAGAACAGAUGUUCCUUCAAGGAACAGCCAAGUUGGGAGCUAAAGCUGCAAGGUGGCUGGGGCUUUGGUGAACCUCUUGUCUGGCUCCAGCACUUUAGUGAUAGAAUUUAACU